UACGGAGGGUGCAAACGUUGCUCGGAAUCAUUGGGCGUAAAGCGCACGUAGGCGGCCUGUUAAGUCGGAUGUGAAAUCCCUCGGCUCAACCGAGGAAGUGCAUUCGAAACUGCCAGGCUUGAAUAUGGAAGAGGGUCGCGGAAUUCCCGGUGUAGAGGUGAAAUUCGUAGAUAUCGGGAGGAACACCAGUGGCGAAGGCGGCGACCUGGGCCAAUAUUGACGCUGAGGUGCGAAAGCGUGGGGAGCAAACAGG
rnacentral:rRNA from 1 species